rfam:Danio rerio chromosome 20, GRCz11 reference primary assembly.
GUCAGAAUGGCCGAGUUUUCUAAGGUACCAGACUCAAGGUCAUUCAAUUUUCUCUAGAAAUGAGAUUUCUGGUCUCCAGCUGGAGGCGUGGGUUCAAAUCCCACUUCUGACA